CUGACCUCAUCCAGACUCUCCCAUCUUCUGGCUUCCGGUUGGAUUUGACCAAUGGAGGCAUGAGCAGGAGAUCCUAGGUUUGGACGAAAGUAAUUCACCUUCAGUGAAGCGUAAAGUUCGUGGCGAGAGGAAAUGAAAAUACGGAUAAUGACAGGAUACAUCAUUCGGAUGACUGUGGAACAUUUAACACGGUGUCUGGCACAGACAGUGAUCGGCAGAGUUAGGGACGGUGAUUCACUGCAAAGGUUUCAAGCAAGGAAGUGACUAGGUCAGAGUUGGUGAUUCAAAAAGCUAUUUUCUGUAUGAAAUGUGGAGACGACAUGGGGUUGGUACGUGACCAAGUGGAGUGGAGCAAGACUGGAGGCAAGAACACUGGUGUGGCCCCACGGACCCACCAAAGCCCAUCCAGUUCACCAAUGGCGUCUUCAUGGCUGUAGUCUGUGGCCGAUCCCCAGUCUUCAGGUCAUCGACAGUAUCUGCUACAACCCAGAGUCCUUUCCUGACUUGGCUUCCGCAACACCACAUUCUCCCUUCGUCCCUCCCAGUGCGUGACAGCUACACCUCAGCAUUCUUCCUGGCUUCUCCUUGUGGCUCAGCCCUUAACGCUGAGGCUCAGCCCCCAAGGCUCAGGCUUUGGACUUCUUCAUUCCCUCGGGGCGCCCAUCCAGUCCUCAUGGCAUUAAUGCUGCCAAAUGUGGACUCCUAAAUGUGUGUUUCCGGCCGAAACUCCAGAAUCUUCCAUCCAAGAUUGACAUCUUGGACAUCUGGGACACCUUGACAUCUCAUCCUGAAUGUCUAACUUAUUAUGUUCAAAAUGGAGCUUUGAUCCUUUCCUCAAACACGCUUCUCCCAACCUUUCCUGUGUUAGGAAAUGGCAGCUCUGGCCUUCCAGCCAGGCUCAGGCCCAACCCUUGGACCCAUCACAGUCCCUAUCUUUCUUUUCCACCCAUGAUCACUCUGAGAAAAAAUCCCCUUGGUUCUGCUUUGAAAACGUACUCAGAAUGCAACCCUCUCUUGCUGUCUUUCUCGCGGUCCGUCACUGAAUGCCGGCGACAGCCCCCAGCCGGUCUCCCUCCUUCGGCUUGCCCCUGACAGCACUUGCUCAGCAUGGCAGCCGCAUGGCCUGUGAUGUCUGUCCUUUCUCAAACCCUCCAGUGGUUUCCCAUCUCAUUCAGAGUCCUCAAAAUACCCUACAAGGCCCUGCACGCCUCCCCCUCCCCCAUUACCUCUGUGACGUCAGCACCCCCAGCUACAUCGCAGCCCCUCCAACACGCCAGACCCGUAAACCCACAGACCCAGCUGUGCACUUGGUGUCCCCCCAACCUGGCAAACUUCUCA